AGCUUUGUGCAGUGGCAAUAUCACAGCCACUGAGGUCUAUCCGAGGUACAAUUACUGCUAAUUGAAAUAACACAGUAAUUGUUGCAGCUGUAUGUCGACA
rnacentral:snRNA from 1 species